rnacentral:rRNA from 1 species
CGUAGGCUAUCUGCCCUCGAAUGGUGGACAACCCUCCGAAAGGAGGGCUAAUACAGCAUAAUGUCAGUAAUGACCAAAGCGGGCCUCUCCAUGGAAGCUCGCGUUUGAGGAUGAGCCUGCGGCCCAUCAGCUAGUUGGCGGGGUAACAGCCCACCAAGGCUAAGACGGGUAGCUGGUCUGAGAGGAUGAACAGCCACACUGGAACUGAGACACGGUCCAGACUCCUACGGGAGGCAGCAGUAGGGAAUCUUCCGCAAUGGGCGAAAGCCUGACGGAGCGACGCCGCGUGAGUGAUGAAGG